UUGAAAGCUGGAAGAGGCAAUAGCGUGAAAUGGCGUUAUAUGUGGCCUGUUGAGACAUUGAAAGUAACCCAAUGAAGAGAACUUGUAAACUAUGUGCAGCCAGUGAAGUGGAAUUGUUGGAUCAGAAACCAAGCAGUUUUAGCAUUUCAUGUCUGCAAACGAAUGUCCUAGUCCUAAUCUAACAGAGUGAAAAUGAUAUAUCUUCUUCACACGGUAAUUUUUUGUUGUUCUUUGUUGGAGGAAAAAACCCACCGAUGAUGUAACCCCGCGAAGAAAGCUUGUCUAAAUGCCCUGCGAUUUGAAUUAACAACCAAUAAAAUUUGACAAAUUUGCCAGCUCGGGUCCACCGUCCACAGCCUUGACAAUAAAAUGUGGCAAAAUUGUUUGUUUUUCUCAAAAUAAAAUCAAAAUAAGCAAAACCCUUUAAACCCUUGUCUCUCUCCCCGGCCUUCACUCUCGACCAAAGUAGAUGUUAGCUAUUUCAAGAAUGAAGGCCCUCAUCUCCGCCACGACGUUCUCAACCCACUUUGUUCCUCACAUCUCCAAGACCACACCUUUGGCCCUCUCAUCUUUAGCCUCUAAGUCCUUUUCAUUCAACCCACCAACCCUUUUCCAGAACCCCAAUCUUCUCCUCCCAAAACCCAUUCUUUUUGUGCCCAAAACCUGCAUUUCUUCAGUUCAGAACCGAUGUAUGCAAAUGGAGAUGCCUUCUCGCCAACGGUCCGGUGAGAUUCACGUGAUCGUCGGCCCAAUGUUCGCCGGCAAGACCACGACGCUUCUUCGUAAAGUUCAAUCCGAGAGAGGCGAUGGCAGCUUUCAGGUCAAGCCCCAAAAGCACAUCCCAGUGGAUAAAACACUGAAAGGACUCUGCUAUUCAGGAAGAUUGGCAGAAGCCGUUGGGCUAUUGUGCCAUACAGGGUUAGAGGUAGACCCAGACACCUAUGCUCUUCUAUUGCAAGAAUGUAUAUUUAGGAAAGAGUAUAAGAAGGGGAAAAUAAUUCAUGCACAAAUGAUCGUUGUGGGGUUUGUUCUCAAUGAAUAUUUGAAGACCAAGUUGUUGAUCUUGUAUGCAAAAUCAGGAAAUUUAGGAACUGCCCACAGUUUGCUUGAUAAGUUGCUUGAGAAAAGCUUGGUUUCAUGGAAUGCAAUAAUUGCAGGGUAUGUGCAAAAGGGACUUGAAGAUGUGGGAUUGAGUCUUUAUUACAAGAUGAGACAUGGUGGUUUGAUCCCAGACCAAUAUACCUUUGCAUCAGUGUUCAGGGCGUGUGCCUCUUUAGCAACACUGGAGCAUGGGAAGCAAGCCCAUGGUGUCAUGAUAAAGUGCCAAAUUGGAGAAAAUGUUGUAGUCAAUAGUGCCCUCAUGGAUAUGUACUUCAAAUGUAGUGAUUUAUGUGAUGGGCAAAGGGUAUUUGAUACAUGUCAAAAUAGGAAUGCCAUUACCUGGACUGCUUUGAUAUCCGGUUAUGGUCAGCAUGGAAAAGUUGUAGAGGUCUUAGAUUUUUUUCAUAGGAUGAAGAGUGAAGGUUUCAGACCAAAUUAUGUUACUUUUAUCUCAGUUCUUUCUGCUUGUAGUCAUGGAGGUUUAGUUGAUGAGGCUUGGGAAUAUUUUUCUUCAAUGACAAGAGAUUAUGGAAUUCACCCAAGAGCACAGCAUUAUGCAGCCUUGGUUGACCUUUUAGGACGUGCUGGGCAGUUAGAAGAGGCGUAUGAGUUUGUUUCGAACUCACCUUGUAAGGAGCACUCAGUGAUGUGGGGUGCUUUUCUUUGGGCUUGUAGAAUUCAUGGAGACAGAGACUUGUUAAAGCUUGCAGCAAAGAAAUACUUCAAAUUGGAACCAGAAAAUGCUGGAAAGUAUGUAGUCUUGUCUAAUGCUUAUGCCACUUUUGGGCUGUGGGACAAUGUUGCUAAGCUUAGGUCUAUGAUGACAGAUUCAGGGAUGAGAAAGGAGCCUGCUUAUAGCAAAGUAGAGGUUCAAAAAGAGGUCCACUUCUUUCUUAAGGGUGAUACAUAUCACAAACAAUCCAAGGAGAUUUAUGAGAUGGUUAAAUUGGUUGAUUGCUCUCUAAAGGAUUCAGGCUAUGUUCCUCAUUUAAGUGGAAGCUAAUUUAUGUAAUGGAAAAGUGCUUAUUUCCUAGGAAUGUCUCUCUUUUGCCUGUCUUGUAAAGAACUCGAUACAUAAGAGCUUCAUGCUUGAGAUGUCUACUUUGGUCUUGUCUGAAAAACGAAUUAAACAUGCAGUGAUAUACUCACAGAAAGUUACCUAAUCAGUGUCAUAAGUGUGAUAGAAAUUGCAGUCUUUAGGAAGUUGAAAAGCGUGUAAGAGAGAAAAUUGUUUAUAUUCAGUUCAUGAGCCCUAUGCAUGCCAGUAAUACAUGAAGCUUGCGAGUGUUUUUUCCUUUAGGUUCUUAGUGAGAAGAAGAAAACUGCACAAAUGUAGAUGAUACUUCAUAGAAUGUAUCAGCCAAGUUCUUAGUAAAUACUUUUCCAAAGCUUCAGCUUGAUGACUAGAAGUUGAGAGUUCAUGUUUAUAUACAGUGGUAAUACCCGUAGUACUGGACAUUAAUAACUAUCUCUAGGAUUGAUCUUUGCAAUCUUGGAGGACUUUCAUGAUUGUUGGUAUGCAGUGCACAUCCAAGAGGAGAGUCCAUGGGCCAAGUUUUUUCAUGGUCAACUUCCCCAUAAGUCAUUAAUCACAAGAUGUAAGCAAAAGAGAAAUGUUGCUAUAAUUAAAUCAAGCAAGGAUACAAGAUAUGGAUUGGAUUCAAUUGUGACGCAUGAUGGGG